rnacentral:snoRNA from 1 species
CUCCGGUGAUGAUCCAGCCAUGCUAAUACUGAUGCACCAGGCAGGUGCACGACGUCUGUCUGGGUGUACAUGAGUGCAACUCACCUUCUCACGCUGAUGGUAUCAGUGUGUGCUGAGGAGA